CCUACGGGUGGCAGCAGUGAGGAAUAUUGGUCAAUGGACGAGAGUCUGAACCAGCCAAGUCGCGUGCAGGAUGACUGCCCUAUGGGUUGUAAACUUCUUUUAUAUGGGAAUAAAAUGUUCCACGUGUGGGAUUUUGUAUGUACCAUAUGAAUAAGGAUCGGCUAACUCCGUGCCAGCAGCCGCGGUAAUACGGAGGAUCCGAGCGUUAUCCGGAUUUAUUGGGUUUAAAGGGUGCGUAGAUGGGUUGUUAAGUCAGUUGUGAAAGGUUGCGGCUCAACCGUAAAAUUGCAAUUGAUACUGGCAGUCUUGAGUACAGUUGAGGUAGGCGGAAUUCGUGGUGUAGCGGUGAAAUGCUUAGAUAUCACGAAGAACCCCGAUUGCGAAGGCAGCUUACUAAACUGUGACUGACAUUGAUGCUCGAAAGUGUGGGUAGCAAACAGGAUUAGAUACCCUUGUAGUC
rnacentral:rRNA from 1 species